GACUUCACAGCAGGCUGAUCCAUCUGCCUUCUGGUUUCCCAGAAGAUUAGGAUCAGGCCGCAACUGAAAUUGUGCUUCAGGGGUAUCAACCUUGAACCACAAAAGAGAACUUCUGCUUUUUCACUCUUUAACUCUCCAUGGGAAGUCAUCAGAUCCAACCUCACACAGAGGCUGGGUAGUUCCUAGCCCAGACAAAUCUAAAGGUCCCACCUCAGUCUAACUGCCCAGUCAUUGGCUGUUGGCUCUUUAUUGCUUGAUCAAAACUAGUUGGGGAGAAGGACCUUCAGCAAUUGGACACACAGACUCCCAAUUUUGGGGCCAGAUUAAUUCAAAGCAUUAGAACCAAUCUCUAACACACUACUGCCCCCAGCUCCUUCCCCCAAGACCCAGCCAAGGAAGCCAAAAAUCUGAAGUAUUUGGUUUACUUCUCACAAACUGCAACCAAAAAGUCUCUUACAGAAUGAUCUUAUGGGCUAUUAGCAUCACAUCUAGGUUACACAGUACAUUCAUGACUCUGCUUCACAUUUACAACUUCAAAAUAAUUUAUAAUUGUAAAUUCCCAAUUUAUAAACUGAAAUAGCUCCUUAUUUUUUUUUAAAAAAAGUUUAUGAAUUGGCUGAGAAUUCUAAUAUUUUUUUAUGGUAUUCCCCCCAACUUUGAAUGCAUUACUAUUAAGCAUUAUUUUUGUUGUUAUUUUCCUUGUUCAUCAAAUUUGUCAUUAAUUAUUUAUCUUAUAAAGAUAGAAAAAUAAAUAUCGUCUCGUCUUUCUUCUCCAUACCUGCUUGGAUCUUUUAGUUGUUCCACUAUUUACUCUCACCAAAUUUAUAUUAUUUAAAAUCUAUCCCAGUACAGUUGACUACAAAUUGAAAUUCUAGACUCUAUGUAAAAAUAAAGAUGCAAGCAACACUUUCAGCAUUAUAUUUGUCACAGAACUCUGGACAGUGAUGUCUUCCUAGUUUGUUAUUGGUCAAUAUUUCAUAAAUAAAGGCCAAGUGGAUUUC